GAUGAACGCUGGCGGCGUGCCUAAUACAUGCAAGUCGAGCGAACAGACGAUGAGCUUGCUCCUUUCUCGUUUGCCGCGCACGUGUGUGUCACACGUGUAUAACCCCCUUAUCAUACUGGGAUAACUUCGGGAAACCGGCGCUUAUACCGUAUAAUAUCUUGCACCGCAUGGUUCAAUAGUUAAAGACGGUUUUUCUGUCUCUUCUCGCUGCAUCCGCGCCGCAUUAGCUAGUUGGUAAGGUAACGGCUUUUCAAGGCGACGAUGCGUAGCCGACGUGAGAGAGGGGUCGGCGACAAUGGAGGGGAGACGCGGACCAGACUCCUACGAGAGGCAGCAGUAGGGAAUCUGAGGCAAUGGGCGAGAACCUGACGGAGCGACGGGGAGUGAGUGAUGAAGGUCUUCGGAUCGUGAAAAUGUGUUAUUAGGGAAGAACAAAUGUGUAAGUAACUAUACACGGAGUGAUGGUACCUGGUCAGAAAGCCACGGCUAACUACGUG
rnacentral:rRNA from 1 species